rnacentral:rRNA from 1 species
AUUGAACGCUGGCGGCAGGCUUAACACAUGCAAGUCGAGCGGAGCGAGGGUGCUUGCACCUUAGCUUAGCGGCGGACGGGUGAGUAAUGCUUAGGAAUCUGCCUAUUAGUGGGGGACAACAUUCCGAAAGGGAUGCUAAUACCGCAUACGCCCUACGGGGGAAAGCAGGGGAUCUUCGGACCUUGCGCUAAUAGAUGAGCCUAAGUCGGAUUAGCUAGUUGGUGGGGUAAAGGCCUACCAAGGCGACGAUCUGUAGCGGGUCUGAGAGGAUGAUCCGCCACACUGGGACUGAAACACGGCCCAGACUCCUACGGGAGGCAGCAGUGGGGAAUAUUGGACAAUGGGCGGAAGCCUGAUCCAGCCAUGCCGCGUGUGUGAUGAAGGCCUUUUGGUUGUAAAGCACUUUAAGCGAGGAGGAGGCUACUAGUAUUAAUACUACUGGAUAGUGGACGUUACUCGCAGAAUAAGCACCGGCUAACUCUGUGCCAGCAGCCGCGGUAACAC